GGCUUACUAAUAGGCUAUUCACACUGACGACCAUCCACCAUCCAUUUCGGGGAUGGUCCGUAAUAGGCUAUUCACACUGACGACCAUCCACCAUCCACCAUCCAUUUCGGGGAUGGUCCGUAAGGUUUUGCCGUUCCGAAAAUUUCCCAGUUAGUCCACCAUCCAUUUUGGAUGUUCCUAAACCGCACGUUUCUAUGCGAUAGUUAGCCGAUGGUUUUCAAAUGCAACUCUGAAUAAUUGUCAUUCACAAUGGAAAAAUGGUAUUCACUGCGAAAACGUAAACAAUGAUUGUGACAAAAUUAACAAAAAACAAAAACAACAACAGAACAGCUCGGAAGGACAGCAGACCAAAUUUUUGAAAAACUUAUUAAUAAAAUGGAUUUAGUGCCAGAAAACUCCACCAGUGCAUACAAGAGAACAACAGCAGGCGGCAGGGUGAAAUGGAGUGCCGCGCUUGAGAGCCUGCUGAUUGACAUAUGGAAGGAGAAAAUUGAAGAUUUGCGCGAACCACGCAAAAAUUCACAUGUGUAAAUUAAGUUGUCCGUAUGUCCAAGUAGCCUUAGCUGCUUGAUGCGGUGGUCCUCGUGCGGGUUCCGUGGUAUAGAAUCCUUUAUGAAGAUUAUGUCGUAGAGAUAACUGUCUCUCUUAUCACUGGCCUUGUGGUACAGUGGUAUAGAAUUAAUAAUUCAAAGUGUUUACGGCUGGUUGCCGGAGCAAGGUUUAUUAACAAGCGUUAGCUUUCGUUAUAAGAACAAAACUAAAACUAGGAGCCACCAGCAAGCUGGGGCAUAAGCUGAAUCAAAAGUAUUUAAUUGCCAAA